CACAUGAUCUCACCACAGAUUUUCAAAAUUGUUAUAAGAAGAUAUCUAAUAAGAAAAAUGUUUUCAAGCUCAGUGAUUAUCAUUGUCUUAUGAAUCUUUUGAAAACCGACAGAAAAAUAGUUCAAAAGCUU